GUCUGUGGCCACCCUGAACACAUCUGAUCUCAUCUGAUCUCGGAAGCUAAGCAGGGUUGAGCCUGGUUAGUACUUGGAUGGGAGACCACCUAGGAAAACCAGGUGCUGUAGGCA
rnacentral:rRNA from 1 species